GGCGUCCCAUCCGCGGCGCGACUGGAGGGGGCGUUGGUUGGGUGGGAGGAGAUGGAAAAGCCUAGGACAAUGCGGGGAGAUCCAUGUGUAUGACAUUUAUAAAACGCUCAUCAUCAGUAAGAUAAGAGGUACCUUGAAAACAUUUUUUGUUGCUGUUUUCCUCGAUACUAAAAGAUGUAAAUCCAAAAAGGACUCUUCAGCCGUAUUCAUAUCUCACCAUGGAAAGAGGCCUUUAGAGCCCUUGGUUACUGGGAGGAUAUAAGAAAAUUAUGAAGUGAUAGGAACUAUUUCUGUGGUUAUACAUUAAUAAUCCGAAAGAGUUUAACAACAAGGAAUCACUUUGUGUGUAACGUUGUAAAACACUCUCAGUGUGUUAACCACACGUGACCUCUGUAAGCAUAGAAAUGUCCAAACUUGUAGACAAUUUUUAGAAGACUUCAUCUGAGCCUAAUUGAUGACAUACGCCAGUUAGCAAGAUCUCAAAUACUCGGGAAGACUGCUGCUCUGGACAGAGGCCAUUUUUUACACCCGGCUCACCCAGAACUGUACUGAGAAUACAGCAAUGAAAACCAAAGACCUGACCAAAAGCAGACAUGCUGAAUCCUGUUAGAGUUAUAGGCUCUUUCAAUUUUACCCUCCUCCCAAAUUUUGUGAACAUUUUGCUCAUCUAGAGAACAGGUGAAAAAAAGUGGACAAGAAAGCAUUUCCCCACCCAGUGGAGAAGGAAGAGAAAAAAAGCAAAAGUGGAGUAGAAUGACACCUGACAGGUAUUGAACACUUCUCAAGCCAGGGACAGCAUGCGUUAUAUUGUUUCAUCCUCACAGCAACUCCACAAUAUCGGCACAACUAUAAUUCUUGUUUAACGAAUCGGGAAACUAUGGCACUGAAGGUUGAGGAACCUGUCCAAAGCCAAAUCUCUAGAAAGUGGUGACACUCCAGACCCUCCACUGUAUUGAGCCCCAUGCUAUUAUACACCCCCCUCCAUCCCCACUCCCCAAACGCCCUCAUUUCUUUCUGUACAUCACUACUGGGGAGCUUGUACAGAAGACCAGAAAAAAGUGAUGCAUCAAAAAGAGCCAAUCCAACUUUUCUUAAAUCCCACCUUCUUGAUCUUUGUUUAACAAAUGAUUCUUUCUCAUCUUCCCCCUGAAAAAGCCAUUCUGAACUCCUUUCGCCCAUUGCACAAUUAAGGCAGCUUGACCAGUAACAGGCCAUCACAAGUGAGGCCCUGAGUUCUCCCACUAGGAGCAAGUUAUGUGGGAUGAAAUGUGAAUAACAAUAGUCUUACCAUUUUAGACUCCUCACACGACAUCCAAUAGUUUUAAUCCCUAAUCUGUUGGUGGCCACCGCUCUAGUUACCUAAGGAAUGGGUGGUGGUGUACCACUAUAAACUACCUCAACUGGAAUUUUAGAAUUUUAGUGCACUUCACUAACACCUCCUGUUCAGGCCUACUUAGUUUUCAUCUCCAAAUACACAGCCACCCAAAUUCUAUGAGUGCCACACUACAGUGCUGGGGCGGACAUGGAGAUAGGCAGACUGAUUUCUUGUCAAGAAAGCACACUCUACCCAACAACAAGGAGUCUGAGUAAUCAGCAAACUCCAGCCUUUUUAUAAGGGUUUCCUUUAGCUUUCAACCUGAGGUCAUGCUAUUUUCCAGGUGGCACUUGGCCAUUUACUGAGCAGGUGAGGACACAGGUCUAGCCACUUUUGCCUGACACUGGACCCCAUUAAUGGGUAAUCUUUGCUUCAGAGGUCCCUGCUGAACUGGCAGAGACUUUGUCAGCUCUGCAGUAUAUUGUGACAGUUCUCCGUGCCCAAACCUUUCUGCUUUCACAGAUGUUAACCCCCACCCCCCCACCAAUAAAUCUCUUAAAUUUGUAACUUUAUUCCAGCAUCUGCUUCCUGGAGGACCCAACCUACAUAAGUUCCAAGAUGUAAAGUGAUAGAACAUUGGUAAUAUUAUCAAAAUUGUGUUAAAUGACUAUAACUUUUGUAGUAGCUCUUUUAUGUAUUGAUGUUUUAUCUCCAGAAUAACUCUCAGUACCUUCCACUGUUAUUAUUUUCUCGUGAGGACAUAAUGUAUCUAUACCCUCCCACUAAGGAUAACUUUGAUGUUGUUCUCUAGAGUGAUGUCAUCAGUUCAUAAAGUCCCCUUUGCUUGGGACAUACUUCUCAUUGGGAAUCCCUCCUACCUUCCUACAAGCAGUCAUUCCCUUCGGAUGUAAACUGAUUUCUUAUCUUCCUCCAUAUUCUCCUCUUCUAACCACAUGUGCUAAGCCACGUAUACAUACAUGCAGCAGGAUUCUUUGUUGAGAUUCUCAUUAGUUAAAAGCAUUAGAUGCCACUCCCUGCAGAUGGCUGUCCACAGAGGCCUAAAGCACAGGCAAAUGCUCCAUAUUUUCCUUCCUUUUUCAGUGAUUUUAAUUUCUUUAUUACUUCCUAUACAACA